AUUCUUAGACUGAGAUUUAUACAGCGCACUUUGACUUUUCUCAGAAUUAAGAUUGAGUUAAAACGAGACAGAUUUAUGUGACAGAUAUACAUCUGUCUCAUUAUAACUCUGUCCUAAGUCUAAGCAAGGUCAGAAUGCGUUCAAUAGAUGUCACCCUCAGUCUCACUGGUUAUCCUUCACCG